GUGCCCAGAUGGGAUUAGCUAGUAGGUGGGGUAACGGCUCACCUAGGCGACGAUCCCUAGCUGGUCUGAGAGGAUGACCAGCCACACUGGAACUGAGACACGGUCCAGACUCCUACGGGAGGCAGCAGUGGGGAAUAUUGCACAAUGGGCGCAAGCCUGAUGCAGCCAUGCCGCGUGUAUGAAGAAGGCCUUCGGGUUGUAAAGUACUUUCAGCGGGGAGGAAGGGAGUAAAGUUAAUACCUUUGCUCAUUGACGUUACCCGCAGAAGAAGCACCGGCUAACUCCGUGCCAGCAGCCGCGGUAAUACGGAGGGUGCAAGCGUUAAUCGGAAUUACUGGGCGUAAAGCGCACGCAGGCGGUUUGUUAAGUCAGAUGUGAAAUCCCCGGGCUCAACCUGGGAACUGCAUCUGAUACUGGCAAGCUUGAGUCUCGUAGAGGGGGGUAGAAUUCCAGGUGUAGCGGUGAAAUGCGUAGAGAUCUGGAGGAAUACCGGUGGCGAAGGCGGCCCCCUGGACGAAGACUGAC
rnacentral:rRNA from 1 species